rnacentral:rRNA from 1 species
UACGUAGGGUGCAAGCGUUAAUCGGAAUUACUGGGCGUAAAGCGUGCGCAGGCGGUCGUGCAAGACAGAUGUGAAAUCCCCGGGCUCAACUUGGGAACUGCAUUUGUGACUGCACGGCUGGAGUGCGGCAGAGGGGGAUGGAAUUCCGCGUGUAGCAGGGAAAUGCGUAGAUAUGCGGAGGAACACCGAUGGCGAAGGCAAUCCCCUGGGCCUGCACUGUAGCUCAUGGACGAAAGCGUGGGGAGCAAACCGG